CUGGGGUGAAAGUCUUGUGUAGGACCCAUCCACUACCCCAACCGAUUGCCGGGCUUUCAUCCUACUCGCUACCAUAGUCGCUCCUAAUGCUGCGUCAUCUUCUCAUUGACUUUACAUUGGCAUUGUUUUCCAUGGGGGCCACAUAGACUUUUCACACAUUCCGUGCCACCACCACGUAAUGCGGAGUUAACAGUUCGUGAUCAUUUCACGGAUUUCUGUGAGACCAGGCUGGAACUACAGAUGCA